AAGUCUUUAAUUAGAAUGUUUGUAUUUUUUACAUCAUGCAUAACUUCACAUUUGUGAUUAAUUAGUAAUUAUUUCAAUACUUAUAAGCUCAUCUGCCUCAGAUUCAAUCAUAAUACAUGAAUUAAAUUAAUCAAAUUAAGGAACAGCAAUUUAGAAAGAAACACACUUUAAGAAAUCAAAAUUCUCAACUCAGGCAGUCUGUUUCUAUCAUUUGGUAUUCUACUCCUUUAAAAAUUUCAUAUUGCCCAACAAAAAGUGGUUAUUUUUACUGUUUUUGGAGAUGACUGAACAGAUGAAGGCAUCAGAUGCCUUCAUCAGCUGGUAUUUUGCCUAAGAUCAAUUUAAGAUAACCUUUUCUUAUAUUUUUUACUUAAUAUUGGGCAUAAUCGUAUCAUUCAAGAUUAAGUCUGGGUUAUUUCUUUGAUAAGAACUGAAUGUGGCCAGGUGCGGUGGCUCACGCCUGUAAUCCCAGCACUUUGGGAGGCUGAGGCAGGAGAAUGGCAUGAACCUGGGAGGUGGAGAUUGCAGUGAGCCAAGAUUGCGCCAUUGCACUCCAGCCUGGGCGACAGAGCGAGACUCCGUCUCAAAAAAAAAAAAAAAAAAAAGAACU
rnacentral:antisense_RNA from 1 species